GUCCUCUAGGACAUUCCGCGAUGAUGGCAACAUUAUAUUCUUUGUGUCCAAUACAGAGGGGCACCUGCGCGGCUCGAAGCCUCCUGAACGAGGCCAGUGAGCCUAGGAUCUGACGGUCUUAGUCUUAGUUGGUUUCAUUCUGAUUGACUCGGCCCCUCACGUGCGGCUCCCACACCGAGGUGCCUUGCGGGUCUGUGAUCUCAAAGCUCUGAGGGGGUCCCACGACAGCACGCCUGAACCACCCCUGACCAUCCUCAUCCUCUCCCCGUGGGAAGACCUGCAGACCCGAAGGAGGGAACUCUGUAGCUCCCUGAAAUAACCUGUUUGUUCAGUGCACACCCUCACACUCCCGGGGGUCCCUGCGCUGGGAGAGCUCUCUGCCGGGCCAGGAAGAGGGCAGAGGCCAGACUGUAGGGGCUCCCAGCUGGGAGCUCAGCCCUGACCCUGCUGACCUUCUGGUCCUGGGUCAUGUCCCCCGCAAAAGGGCAAACAUGUGCCCAGGGGUCCUGCAGGUCCCCAGUUCUGUGGUGGAGUGGAAGCAAGUCGGGUAUGCCCAUCACCAGAGCAUAGCUGCCAGGAAACCUCAGGAGCCCUCAGGAUGCCAGGCCUGCACAAAAAAGAGGAAGUGGGCCUCGGCUGAUCCUCCCCAAAAUCGAAACAAACAUUGUUUAUAAAUCACGAAAAAAGAAUCCCAAGCAAUUCUUUGUUCAUUCAUUUUACUUACUGCCCUUGUGGGCAGGUUUUCCUUUAAAGAAGAAAAUUAGAACCUUUGCCUUAGAGAUCUUGGGGAGAUAGUCUUGGAGAUCUGGGCACUGUAGGAUCCGGGGUCUGUUGCUGACCCCAGCAGGGAGUGGGCCACUCACCCGCUGUGUGAUGCUUUUCUGUUUCGACACCCAUGUCUUUCCCAACAGUCCUGGGGCGUGCUCAUGGCUUCAGGAGAGGCAUCACGAAGGCCCCGUCCAGGCAGAGUGGCCCCACCUUCAGCGAGAGCAGCAGCAGCCCUCCAUCUACCGUCCAGAGGGCACCCCCUCCUGCAUGUUCCCCCCUCCCGGCGGCCUCUCCGGGAGGGAGCCCACCCCUCGAACUGCCCAGAAGACAGGGUCCUUGUAGCCAGAGGAUGGCGACACGCCCAGCCGAGGGGGGAGCACUCUCGGGAGCAUCAAAGCACAGACCAGGCGGGCUGUCCACUCCGCUGGGUGGGGGGUAAGGAUGCACCCCCAGCUGGCCUGCUGAGUCUCCGUGGGAUGGCAGCAGACUAUAUUUGACAGCGGUGUGGGUUCAAAGCAAAAUUGAGGGGAAGUCACAGACGUUCCCCAUUUCCCGCUGCCCCAGCAUGUGUGCAGCCUCCCCCAGGAUGGACAGCCCCCCAGAGUGGUAUCUUUGUCCCAGGAGUUGACAAGCCUGCACUGACCCCUCAUGACCCAGAGUCCGCGGUUCAGGUCAAGUUCACUCUUGGUGAUGCACAUUCUGGGGACCAGGGUCCUCCGAGCUCCAACUGUCCCUGCAGCCCCCCAGCCCCCGCCGCCUCACACUCCCCAGCUACCCCGUUCUCACAGAACCCAGAACCCCAACCCCUCCCACAGAGGGGCCCGAAGGGGCUUCCCGGUAAGGGGGGGGACACAGCUGGGGCGGUGGGGGACAGGGCGCUCCUCAGGGAGGCAGCGGUCCCCAGCGCAGGGGAGGACUUUGUCGCACAGCCAUCCCUCUGCGGGCGUUGCUCUCUGCGGCGAACUCCCCAGUGCACGCUGGGAGGCAGAAGCUUUCAGGAACGUACAGCCAGAGCUGCCCGAAGAGAACGGGUGGCAGGGCCCACAGGGCCCCAGCAGUGACCCAGGCCGGAAAUCUCUGUGUCGACGUUGUGGAAGCCAUCCCGCUGGCGGCCACACUAGUUAAUGGAAGAAAAUGAAAGUCUGGGAAGAAAACGUAAGCCUGAUGGAGGGACUGCAAUGGCCCGGGUCAGGGCUGAGGAGGGCGUUCUCAGGAAGCUCUGUGUUGGGUCAGCGUCAGAGACGCGUGAGGGCAGGUCCAGGGCUCUCUCGGGGGUUGGUCCCCAGAGGCUCAGACGCGCCCACACUCGGUGCCCUCGUCGACAGCAAACAGGUGCUCCCGGGGCGGGGUGGGGGAGACGCUGGGAGCCCGAGGGGUCCCAGCACUGUCUCAGGGCAGGGGCGGCCCCAGAGCCUCCCAUCCCGGAACAGAACUCUGGGACCUGCUCGGCCAGGAGGUCCUGAGGUGAACUGAGAUCAGAGAAGAUGAUCAUUCCGGCCGGACCACGGAUAGGCUCCCUCCUCUUUUCUUUAGCCCAGAAGGGUCUAUGGGUGCCAGAGCUUAGCACCGGAAGGGAACAGAAGCCGUGUCCCUGGGGAGGCCAUACCACACCCCACAGUCCCGGUUACCUAAGCAGCAGACAUUUGCUCUCCCUCAGUCUGAGGCCAGAAGUCCGAGGCGCUGGCCGGCCUGCACGCCCUCCGCGGGCUGGGGAUGGGGAGGAGGCAUCUGUCUUCUCCAGGCCUCUCCCCAGGCUUCUAGGGGUUUGCCAGCAUCUUUGGCUUCCUGGCUUGUGGAAACGUCACCCGGACCUCUGCCUCUGCUCCGUGUCCACGUCCCCCUUCGCAUAAGGACACGGUCACCCUGGCUCGAGGUCCACCCUACUUCCCCUAACUUGCUCUCCCUGCGAUGACCCCAUUUCCAAAUAGGGGCACCUUCAGAGGUCCCAGGGGUUAAGAUCUCAACUUAGGAAUCUUGCAGGGGCAGAGUUCAGUCCAUAAUGGGGCCUGAGCCACGGGCCUCGCUGGUGGUCUGCAGACUCCUCUGCAGAGAGGCCCUGGCUCCCCGAGGGACUACUGCUCAGGGCCUCGGGCCAGCAGGCACCAGAUCCUCCUGGGGCCAGAGACCCAGAGCCCGGCCUGGCUUGCAGGGUCAGUGUGUGCCCGCUCACACUCGCCCCUGCCUGUGGGAGGACAGCCCCCUUGUGCCCGCAUGGCUGAUACCCCCGAUACCACCCGGCAAUGGGCUGCAGGGCAUGGGGUUCACCCGUGUCUGUCCUGCCAGGGGCUCGGGGGCAUCUGGGAUUCCUGCUCCUUCUGACUUCUGUGCCUACAGGGACCCUCCUCUGGCCUGGCUCCCAGCACCCUGUGGCCAAGCCUGGCUGAUCUGCGACUCACAUGCCAAAUGAAGAAGAAAUCAGUGCCACAGUAAGUCACCAAGCCAGGGGUGGUUUGCCGCUUUGAAGGGUGCUGACAUUCAAAGCGCCAGGUGCUGCUGGUUGUUGAAGGGCGUCCUCCUGAUAAGGAUGCUCGCACACAUUCACCCGCCCCAAGUCCUCCCCUUCCAACUGAAGUGCUGGAGGCUCCGGGAGGCAAGACCCCCAACUCGACCUCAGAGCCAGGCCCGGAGUGGUGUUAGAAUGGAUGCUUGGCCACGGGCUGGCUGCCUGAACCCCAGAUCAGAGGCGUCGUUGGACGUCCUUCACCAAGCCUGGGUAUCUUGGACACUUGGAUCUAACGAUGUGUUCCUGGGGAUUGCGGGGUAUCUAGCUGUCCUCUUGAGAGCAGAGCUUACUGGGCCUGCUGGGGCUCCUCCUGCCGGCCCCGUGGAGUGCACCCCUGUGUUCGUCUGGGUCUCCUUCGCUACUGUGGUGAUGCUCCUGCCGGAAGGCAGACGUGCCCAGAUCCGCAGGGUGGAUAAACACUGUUUAUUUUCCAUCAAUCUUACUUCCAUCACGUUGCCUCUGUGGAGGAGCGGCUUAGGGCCACUCAGUGGUUGCUCCUACCCCUUCCAUGGCCUGAGCAGCGGGAGCAGCCAACCAGCCUUCCGCACCCGACUGAGUCUUCGGGAGGGAAGUGCUGACCAGGCCCAGCGCGCACUUGCUUGUCCUUGAUGAGUCUGCACCUUCAAGUUCAGCCGUCAGUCAGGAGCUGGAGCAGUGCGCCCUGAAAUCCUUCCUUGGUCACGGCCUUUCCAGCGCUGGCCUGUUCUUCUCUGCAAUCUUGUCAGCAUCUCUGUGAAGUAAAGAUCAGACACGACCGCCCGCGGGUGCACCCAGGAACAGUGCCAAGCACGCGCAGAACUUCCCAGGCCAGCGUCCUCCACUUCGGACCCCCUGAGGGAGCUCCACUGUUGCUGCAAGGAAUGGCGAUGUCCACGGUUUGCAGGGGAGAGUCUGUGCUCCACAGAGCGAUGGAGGGCAGGAUGCCUGGGGCUCUGACAUGGUGACAGUUUCCCUUUAAGCUGGGACAGGAACGUGGAACAACUCUGUACUGACCCCUCCCUGGGUAGUGUGAAACAAAGCAAGUCUCUUACAUUUUAAAAUUCAGUUCGAUGGGAAGCUCGAAGCCUUUUGCUGUGAGAAACACCCAGCUGGACCUGAACCGGAUGCUCCUGAUUUGUUUACUUCCAAGUGCUUCUAUGACCUUCUUGGCGUCCUCCUUCAGCCUGGGGGGAGAGAGGAAAGGCGUGUGAAUGUCCCCGUGGGGACCUCGGUGUGUCACACCGCCGUUGUCCUAGCAAAGAGGCUUCGAGAGCAACCCACCUCCUCCUGGGGCGUCCAGCGGGAGGGCGUCAAAUUUCUAGUUAAACAUACGGCCACAUCAGGGGCUCUUUGAGCCUCAGGUUUGGGCACAGAGCUUUAAUUCUUAAUUCUCAGAAGCCCUGUGUCUUGGGAUCCAAUCACACCUUCCCGUUCAGCCAGUGUCGUUUUUGGUCUUGGCUGCCCCUCCCGUUCACUCACCACAAAAGGAGGCAGAAGUUAGCGAAAGGUGAAAGAACAGGUCAAAACAGUCCCUUUCGUUUUCAGAAAGAUCGGUAUCACGAAAGAAAGAAAACCCUAAAACAACGCCACCAUUGUAAAAGCAGGCAACUUAGAGUAAGCGAAGGGAGGGGGGCAGAAAGGGAAAGAAAAAAAAUGGGCUGAGAUUUUCCUGAGUUAAAUCGGAAUUUUUCCAAGCGUAUAUCAAAUAACUUCUGUCUGAUAAGAUGCCCUAUUAAAAAUAGGAUCCGAGGCCAAAUAAAUUUGGGGAAUGCCUUGUUCAGGAGCCAGACUUACAGGGUACAGAAGUACUCUGGGGUUCGUGGAAGGUUCAUGGAAGUUUGGCAGUGAACACACAAGUGUUUACUCAGAAGAGCGAACUUCCGAGCUACACGGGGGCCAGACCAACUUCUUCCCACAGGAAGGGGUGUGUGUGUGUGUGUUUCCUUUUCAAUCAGUUGCUAUUCAUAUAGAGAAUUUUUUCCCGAUUUCCUUUCCUAUUUCUGUAAGUCGCACCCUGAGUGUAGCUUUUCUGUCCAAAUCCGGGUCCGUGGCGGUUCUUUCUUGCUCCCGAGAAUAUUCCUUAGCGUCUAGGACUGAACACAGUCCACUUUGUGAUGGGCUCCCCUUCCUUCUCCUUAAGAAAGCCCCUUGCUCCAGCCGGCUUCCCCUGUCCCCGCCACAGGGGACAGUCCAUCCACGCUCACCUGCUUGCACCGUCGUCCUGGGUCACCAUGAAGAGCAGGGACUUGGGAGGUGCACUCUGAAUGAAGGUCACCAUCGGUCCAGAGUUAUCUGUCAGGUCAAGGCAAAUCUGCUUUAGGUCCCUGUUGCUUGCUCCCCCAGACGCUGUGCCUCCUCUGGGCUUAGCUGCUGUGUCCUCUGAAUCUUCUAAUUCCUGGAGCUUGUCUCCACUAGUGAGUGGAUGGCCGCUGGGCUCCAGGCUGGGACCCACAGAGGCGAGGGACAGGAGCACAUCGUGAGGAUCCUAGGACUCUAACCGGAGGCCAGCGACAACCACCGCAGAGGGGUCCCGGGACACCAACUUGCAGAAGGGCGCCAGAAAUCAGACUUGCAGACCAGACUGAGUGUGGCAAGUCUUUGCUGAGGGACGUAUCUGGGCCUCACAGCAACAACAGGAAGCUAACCUCAAGCCCCAUUAUUUCCCACUGGGUGGUGCUCACCUUAAUUACAGAGUAAAAAUGCACAGUUCCUGUAAGUGUGUCCAGACAUUUCUUAUUACUCUGUUCUCUUUAUAAAGCCUUGUUUUUAAUAAUCCUUACUGUUUGGUAAAAAUAAAAGGGGCUGCCGUAACCUGACUGACCUCUGCUCUCAAGCCCAGUGCCCGGACUGGAGGCCACGGAAGAAGAACGUGCGCCGCGUGUUCCGGGACGUGUGCGAGGAGUGCAGGGGCGCACCACAACCAGGACGGGAAUAAUGAUGUCCAGGGCUGGAGGCUGAUUCCAUUGUUUUAUAUACGUUUGAUUUAAAAAAUGUUUUCUCUUAUUAGCUGAUGAAGCAACAAAAAUAAAAGGCCCAGGACAAGUGUGACCCGAGAAGACGUGUUCUAGAUAACGCCUUCAAACUUGAUCAUAUGAACUCAAUUAAGAGACCAGGAGGGCUUCUGCCAGACUGUUCUAGAAUACUCCUACGAGCUUCUGGCACCUUGUUUUAGUAGACAACUAAGAAUGUUUGACACUUUGAUUUGUGUCUUUUUAUCUUCAUGCUUCUAAUUCGUUUUCAUAGGAAAAGAGUUUUCUUACCACUUUCAAACAUAUCAAAAUACCGUGAUGCUAUCGCUUUCCCAGUCACAUCUGAAAAUAAAAGAAAUGGUUUUUAAAAAGAA